UGGGGAAUUUUGGACAAUGGGGGAAACCCUGAUCCAGCAAUGCCGCGUGUGCGAAGAAGGCCUUCGGGUUGUAAAGCACUUUUGUCAGGGAAGAAAUCCUUUGGGCUAAUACCCUAGGGGGAUGACGGUACCUGAAGAAUAAGCACCGGCUAACUACGUGCCAGCAGCCGCGGUAAUACGUAGGGUGCAAGCGUUAAUCGGAAUUACUGGGCGUAAAGCGUGCGCAGGCGGUUGUGUAAGACAGGUGUGAAAUCCCCGGGCUUAACCUGGGAAUUGCAUUUGUGACUGCACGACUAGAGUGUGUCAGAGGGGGGUGGAAUUCCACGUGUAGCAGUGAAAUGCGUAGAUAUGUGGAGGAACACCAAUGGCGAAGGCAGCCCCCUGGGAUAACACUGACGCUCAUGCACGAAAGCGUGGGGAGCAAACAGGAUUAGAUACCCUGGUAGUCCACGCCCUAAACGAUGUCAACUAGUUGUUGGGGAUUUACUUCCUUGGUAACGUAGCUAACGCGUGAAGUUGACNGNCUGGGGAGUACGGCCGCAAGGNUA
rnacentral:rRNA from 1 species